CCUACGGGCGGCAGCAGUGAGGAAUAUUGGUCAAUGGGCGAGAGCCUGAACCAGCCAAGUCGCGUGAGGGAGUACUGCCCUAUGGGUUGUAAACCUCUUUUGUCGGGGAGCAAAAGCCGGACGUGUCCGGCUGUGAGAGUACCCGAAGAAAAAGCAUCGGCCAACUCCGUGCCAGCAGCCGCGGUAAUACGGAGGAUGCGCGCGUUUUCCGGAUUUAUUGGGUUUAAAGGGGGCGCAGGCGGAUUUUUAAGUCAGCGGUAAAAUCGUGGGGCUCAACCCCAUCCAGCCGUUGAAACUGGGGAUCUAGAGUGUGCGAGAGGUAUGCGGAAUGUGUGGUGUAGCGGUGAAAUGCAUAGAUAUCACGCAGAACCCCGAUUGCGAAGGCAGCAUACCGGUGCACAACUGACGCUCAGGCACGAAAGCGUGGGUAUCGAACAGGAUUAGAUACCCCUGUAGUC
rnacentral:rRNA from 1 species